UGUGUGCCAAUGAUGGUGUUAAAUAUACUCCGAGAUUUAUUUCUAUGAAAUCAACUUCGAUCUGAGGCACUAG
rfam:Phaseolus vulgaris cultivar G19833 chromosome 3, whole genome shotgun sequence.